GGCCUUUUAGCUCAGUUGGUCAUACCGUGGUGCUAAUACCGCCAAGGUCGCAGGUUCGAAACCUGCAUAGGCCA
rnacentral:tRNA from 1 species